rnacentral:rRNA from 1 species
GAUGAACGCUGGCGGCGUGCUUAACACAUGCAAGUCGAACGGGAAACUUUUCAUUGAAGCUUCGGCAGAUUUGGUCUGUUUCUAGUGGCGGACGGGUGAGUAACGCGUGGGUAACCUGCCUUAUACAGGGGGAUAACAACCAGAAAUGGUUGCUAAUACCGCAUAAGCGCACAGGACCGCAUGGUCCGGUGUGAAAAACACCGGUGGUAUAAGAUGGACCCGCGUUGGAUUAGCUAGUUGGCAGGGUAACGGCCUACCAAGGCGACGAUCCAUAGCCGGCCUGAGAGGGUGAACGGCCACAUUGGGACUGAGACACGGCCCAGACUCCUACGGGAGGCAGCAGUGGGGAAUAUUGCACAAUGGGGGAAACCCUGAUGCAGCGACGCCGCGUGAAGGAAGAAGUAUCUCGGUAUGUAAACUUCUAUCAGCAGGG